GUGAAAACUUAUGCAAGCUUUUCCGCAAUACAGCUAAGGCUCUAAGCAGAAGCGCCGUGACAAGGCCACCAGAGCAGCGCCGAGUUCCAUCAAUGAAAUCCAACGCAGUAGGCUGUCACAUGGCAUUUUGCAGCACUGCACAGCUGGUGGAAGUGACGUUAGGGUUCCCAGGUGUACAAAUCUGUAUGCAAGAGAAUUUAUGUGUCACCACCUCAGCGUGUGGGUCUGUAACAAGAGAAGCUUAUGUGUCACCACCUCGACCAGUAGCACUACAUCCACCAGUACCUGCACCUAUUUAUGCUCGUGAUCAACGAGUGGGAUGAUUAUAUUACAGGAGAGGCUCAGUUUUGGAGAUGCGUGAUUAUAGGACCAUGGAUGUGGAAAUGAGGCUGCGAGCUCCUAUUGAUACCAUGAUCCUACGGCUUGUACAGAGACUGCUCCGUACCAAGAACUCCGUACACUGUAGGUCGGGAGGCUCAUACUCUGCUGGGUUGCGGCUUCAUAUGCGCCUUCCCUUUAUCGCUAUUAAGAUCGGAACCAAUUGUAGUAAGAGUCUAACUGAUCAUUGAGCAGGAUUCUGCUUAUGGUGGAGUAAGGUGCUUGAUGAUGCCAAAAACUUCUCUUUUGACUAUAAUAUCUGGAUGUUUUUUUCUUUAAUGACAUUGAUAUGCCUUGUCAGAGGAAAACGUGGUCCAUAAUUUUGGCAUUGCUCCUCUAGUUGUGGCCCUCGAUUGCUAUUAUCAUCGAUUUGUUGCAGCAGCGUUCCGGUCUGGUAGCAUUUCUUUCAACGUCGACUUUAUACCAGCAAUGAUGUCGACUUGGUGUUGGGCUGCUAUGAAUGGGUUAUCUGGACAGGUGCACCAUCGUCAAUAUACUAGUUUGGUUAUCCUUUAUCUACUUGUUUGUAUUGGUUAUCAAAGGAAAACAUUAUGGUGGAUAUCGAGAUUAGCAGUUCUUGAGUUUCAUCAUCAUGCAGAGAGGACUCUGCAGAUGAAGCAAAAACAUCCAUUGGUUGCUUGUAAAAUUCUAAUCCCCAUCAGAAUGGUAUUUUUAUGUUUUUUGACUGACUUUGUUUGACUCUCACUUCCAUGACUAAUGGCCAAUGAUGGACAGAUUGAGUGCUUUUCUGAUGUAUCUGAUCGAUGAUGUGUGAGGCUUUGACUCUAGUGUUCAGAUACCUUUGGAAGAGAUGAUGAAAUUUUUGUACUCUCUUGUAAGCUUAUUAAUUCUCUUUCAUAAAGUCGUGUAAUGCUCAGA